rnacentral:tRNA from 1 species
UAGCUCAGUUGGUAGAGCAGCUGACUCUUAAUCAGCGGGUCCGGGGUUCGAGUCCCCGUACGCCCUCCA